rnacentral:tRNA from 2 species
UUGAGAAAGGCAUAGUGGCUAUGGUAUUGGCUUGAAACCAGUCUUGGAAGGUUCGAUUCCUUCCUUUCUUAU